rnacentral:rRNA from 1 species
UUAUACAAUGAAGAGUUUGAUCCUGGCUCAGGAUGAACGCUAGCGGCAGGCUUAACACAUGCAAGUCGAGGGGCAGCGAGAUUGUUAGCAAUAACGAUUGUCGGCGACCGGCGCAAGGGUGCGUAACGCGUGAGCAACUUGCCCGUUUCAGGGGGAUAACCGGUGGAAACGCCGACUAAUACCCCAUAGCAUCACAUUGAGGCAUCUCAAUGUGAUUAAAGAGUUUCGGAAACGGAUAGGCUCGCGUGACAUUAGCUAGACGGCGGGGUAACGGCCCACCGUGGCAACGAUGUCUAGGGGUUCUGAGAGGAAGGUCCCCCACACUGGAACUGAGACACGGUCCAGACUCCUACGGGAGGCAGCAGUGAGGAAUAUUGGUCAAUGGUCGAAGGACUGAACCAGCCAUGCCGCGU